CCUACGGGAGGCAGCAGUAAGGAAUUUUCGUCAAUGGGGGAAACCCUGAACGAGCAACGCCGCGUGGAGGAUGACGGUCUUCGGAUUGUAAACUCCUUUUAUGAGGGACGAUAAUGACGGUACCUCAGGAAUAAGCCCCGGCUAACUCUGUGCCAGCAGCCGCGGUAAUACAGAGGGGGCAAGCGUUGUCCGGAAUUACUGGGCGUAAAGAGCACGUAGGCGGUCGCGCGAGUGGUGUGUGAAACCACCCAGCUUAACUGGGUGACGCCAUGCCAAACUGCGCGACUCGAGUCAUGGAGAGGUUAUUCGAAUUGCUGGUGUAGUGGUGAAAUGCGUAGAGAUCAGCAGGAAGACCAAGGGCGAAAGCAGAUAACUGGCCAUGCACUGACGCUCAGGUGCGAAAGCGUGGGGAGCAAACUGGAUUAGAUACCCAGGUAGUCCACGCUGUAAACGAUGUAUGCUCGGUAUGUGUGCCUGUUAAGGGCAUGGGUACCUUAGGAAACCCGGUAAGCAUACCGCCUGGGAAGUACGAACGCAAGUUUAAAACUCAAAGGAAUUGACGG
rnacentral:rRNA from 1 species